UCCGGUUUGUCACCGGCAGUCUCCCUAGAGUGCCCUUGCGUAGCAACUAGGGACAAGGGUUGCGCUCGUUGCGGGACUUAACCCAACAUCUCACGACACGAGCUGACGACAGCCAUGCAGCACCUGUGUUCCGGUUCCCUUUCAGGCACAGCCCCCUCUCAGGAGCCUUCCAGACAUGUCAAGGGUAGGUAAGGUUGUUCGCGUUGCAUCGAAUUAAUCCACAUCAUCCACCGCUUGUGCGGGUCCCCGUCAAUUCCUUUGAGUUUUAACCUUGCGGCCGUACUCCCCAGGCGGUCAACUUCACGCGUUAGCUACGGUACCCAGGAAUCGCUUCCCGAACACCUAGUUGACAUCGUUUAGGGCGUGGACUAC
rnacentral:misc_RNA from 1 species